rnacentral:lncRNA from 1 species
GCUUUUAAUGGGGAUUGUGGGAUUUAGGUCAACUAAGAGGUUUCGCAUGACACUUGGAAAGUUACAAGGCUAAAAAAAUGUUUUUUUCACAGAAGUAUAAAAUGGAAACUGUUAAGAAGGUCUAUGGUAUGACUGGUGACGUUGAGGUGAUGUUUGUAAGGUUAAUAAGUACAAAUAAUAUUGUUUGGGAAUGCUCCUCCCCUCCAAAUGUUGUCUCCUUAUCUGAGUUGAAUGAAUUUGAAUCCUAAUGUUAUAUCUUCUUUAGCAGAUUUUAUUUCUGGAUAACUUCUUUUGAGGUGAAAAAUAAAUAUUUGGUAUUUUCCUUUUUGCUAUAUAUAUAUAUAGCCUAGUAAUCGAA